GAUGAAGAACGUAGUGAAAUGCGAUAAGUAAUGUGAAUUGCAGAAUUCAGUGAAUCAUCGAAUGUUUGAACGCUCAUUGCGUCCGCCAGUAUUCUGGCGGGCAUGCCUGUUCGAGCGUCAUUUCAACCCUCAGGUACCCCUUUUCGGAGGGGGAGACACCCUGGUGUUGGGGGACGGCAUCCUGGCCCGCUGUCUCACAGUGUGCCACGCCGCCCCCGAAAUGAAUUGGCGGCCUCGUCGCGUGCCACCCCUGCGUAGUAGCACAACCUCGCAACGGGAGCCCGACGCGGCCACUGCCGUAAAACGCCCAACUUUUACCGAGUUGACCUCGAAUCAGGUAGGAAUACCCGCUGAACUUAAGCAUAUCAAUAAGCGGAGGA
rnacentral:misc_RNA from 1 species